CUGUGGCAAUUCUAGAGCUAAUACAUGCAAUACCCCUCUGCCCGCAAGGAACGAGCGCAUUUAUUAGAAUAAAAACCAAUCGGGUUUCGGCCCGUAAUUUGGUGAAUCUGAAUAACUUUGCCAAUCGCACAGUCCUAGUACUGGCGAUGUAUCUUUCAAGUGUCUGCCUUAUCAACUUUCGAUGGUACGCUAUACGCCUACCAUGGUAGUAACGGGUAACGGAGAAUAAGGGUUCGACUCCGGAGAGGGAGCCUGAGAAACGGCUACCACAUCCAAGGAAGGCAGCAGGCGCGCAAAUUACCCACUUCCAGAACGGAGAGGUAGUGACGAAAAAUAACGAGACAGUCCUCUUCGAGGUCUGUCAUCGGAAUGGGUACAAUUUAAAUCCUUUAACGAGGAUCUAUUGGAGGGCAAGUCUGGUGCCAGCAGCCGCGGUAAUUCCAGCUCCAAUAGCGUAUAUUAAAGUUGUUGCGGUUAAAACGCUCGUAGUUGGAUUUGCGGCCUCGAAGGAUGGUCCCCCGAAAGGGCGGUCACUGUCUCUUCUAGCCUAAAUUCGAGUCGUCUCUAGGUGCUCUUUACUGAGUGCUUAGAGUGACUAGAACGUUUACUUUGAAAAAAUUAGAGUGCUUAAAGCAGACGACAUAGUCUGAAUAAGGUGCAUGGAAUAAUGGAAUAGGACCUCGGUUCUAUUUUGUUGGUUUUCGGAGCCCGAGGUAAUGAUUA
rnacentral:rRNA from 1 species